AAUAGAUACCCUGGUAGUCCAUGCCGUAAACGUUGGGAACUAGAUGUGGGGACCAUUCCACGGUCUCCGUGUCGCAGCUAACGCAUUAAGUUCCCCGCCUGGGGAGUACGGCUGCAAGGCUAAAACUCAAAGGAAUUGACGGGGGCCCGCACAAGCGGCGGAGCAUGCGGAUUAAUUCGAUGCAACGCGAAGAACCUUACCAAGGCUUGACAUACACGAGAACGCUGCAGAAAUGCAGAACUCUUUGGACACUCGUGAACAGGUGGUGCAUGGUUGUCGUCAGCUCGUGUCGUGAGAUGUUGGGUUAAGUCCCGCAACGAGCGCAACCCUCGUCUUAUGUUGCCAGCACGUAAUGGUGGGGACUCAUAAGAGACUGCCGGGGUCAACUCGGAGGAAGGUGGGGAUGAGGUCAAAUCAUCAUGCCCCUUAUGUCUUGGGCUUCACGCAUGCUACAAUGGCCGGUACAAAGGGCAGCAAUACCGCGAGGUGGAGCAAAUCCCAAAAAGGCCGGUCUCAGUUCGGA
rnacentral:rRNA from 1 species